GGCCGGGCUGGGGGCUCCUGGUGCUGCCCGUGGGGUGGGGGAUGCCCAGGACGCUGCUAAUCCCCAGGGAUGUGCUCUGGGUCCAGGCUGUCCGUGCUGGAGGGCCCUGGUGGCUGCAGUCCCUGAGCCCACAGAGACAGAGAGAGCCCCGGCCCGAGUGGCCUUUGGCCCCUUGUCCUGAAUUUGGGGUGAGCCUGGGAGCGUGUGGAGGAUGCUGGAAUUGGCUCUCUGGGUGUGUGCUGAGCUCUGGCUGCAGGGGACUGUCAGGCCUUGGUGGCUGUGAGUUCCUGUUCUUCUCCCUGGGAAACUGGAAAGAGUUCUUCAUUAGAUUGCAGAAAUGUUUUCUGAAA